GACGAACGCUGGCGGCGUGCUUAACACAUGCAAGUCGAACGGAAAGGCCUGCUUUCCCUUGUGGAUUGCGGGUACUCGAGUGGCGAACGGGUGAGUAACACGUGAGUGAUCUGCCCCCAACUUGGGUAUAAGCCUGGGAAACUGGGUCUAAUUCCCGAUAGGACUGCAGGGUGGUGCCUGUGGUGGAAAACGAUUUUCUAGUGGUUGGGGAUGAGCUCGCGGCCUAUCAGCUUGUUGGUGGGGUAAUGGCCUACCAAGGCGGCGACGGGUAGCCGGCCUGAGAGGGUGGACGGCCACAUUGGGACUGGGAUACGGCCCAGACUCCUACGGGAGGAAGGAGUGGGGAAUAUUACACAAUGGGCGGAAGCCUGAUGCAGCGACGCCGCGUGGGGGAUGACGGCCUUCGGGUUGUAAACUCCUUUCGACCGCGAGGAAGCCACCUGGUUGGAAGGGUGGUGACGGUAGUGGUAGAAGAAGCACCGGCUAACUACGUG
rnacentral:rRNA from 1 species